rnacentral:lncRNA from 1 species
GAAUUCGAUAUUCUCAAAGAAGGAACUGCUUGGCGCCGCGUAUCCAGUCAUCCUCACAUUGUCACUUUUAUUGGUAUUUUCGAAACUGAUAUUAGUCACUGUUUCGUCUGUGAUUACGUGAAUGGAGAGAAUUUGACCGACUUCUUGGAAAUAAACGGAAUAUUAUCGGAAUUCCAAGCUAAGACGAUCGGUGCACAACUUGCUUCGGCCAUCAUUUACAUUCACGAUAAAGAAAUUAUUCACAGAGAUAUAAGCUCAAACAACAUCUUAAUAGAUAAAAAAAAAUGGAGCACAUUUGAUUGACUUUGGUCUAUGUACAUUCGAACGCCGUCCAACAGACUUCUGCGGCACUCUGUUCUAUUUAUGCCCAGAAAUUCUUCAACAGACAGAAUACGACGCUUACUGCGAUUGGUGGGCGUUUGGAGUUGUAUUAUACCAGAUUCUGGUUGGAAAAACUCCAAUAGAAGUUUAUCUAGAAACACUUAUGACCUUUGACGAUUUCCAGACAUUGCUGAUAACGGAACAAAUCAAAAUUGUUGAAAAAGUGGAGUUAACGUAUCCUUUUGAACUAUCGGAGGAUGCCAAACAAAUAAUCCAGGAUUUGUUACAGAAA